ACCCAGAGGUUUUCACAGUGUUUGCCAUGAGAAUAACAACACAUACAUGAGAGGUGACUGGCUGUGGUUAGUGGUAUGAUAGUCACAAAAUGAAGGUCAAACCAAAUGGCAGGCAGUAAGUCACUAGACUUAGCUACAAUCAAUCCUUGCUCUGUUCAGCAGCACUCAAUCACCUUUUCCCAGUUUAACCCUUCCUGCACACACCUAACACUAAUCUCCCUGCAAAAACUCCACUUUUCCUCAUAUUCUGUAUUGCCCAGAUGGUGGAACUUCUUAAA
rnacentral:lncRNA from 1 species